UACGUAGGGGGCUAGCGUUGUCCGGAAUCAUUGGGCGUAAAGCGCGCGUAGGCGGCCAGAUUAGUCCGGUGUGAAAGUCAGAGGCUCAACCUUUGAAUGCCGCUGGAAACUGUCUGGCUUGAGUCCGGAAGGGGCGAGUGGAAUUCCUGGUGUAGCGGUGAAAUGCGCAGAUAUCAGGAGGAACACCGGUGGCGAAGGCGGGUCUCUGGGCCGAUACUGACGCUGAGGAGCGAAAGCGUGGGGAGCGAACAGG
rnacentral:rRNA from 1 species